rnacentral:lncRNA from 1 species
CAAAUCUAUAUGCAUGCUAUUUAGAAGUUAGUUGAAUGCUUCUCUUUGUUCUCCACAAAAAUCUUAAAUUUUUCCCAUGUUAUCCAGGACAUCUUCUUCCACGUUACUAAUUGGAAGCCAGUAAAGCAGUCUCUCAAAGAUGUUCUUAGUCCUUCACUCAUUGUUAGUGUGCCAUCUCACACAUAGAGAUAUUAUAUAUACCCAUUCUAUACAUAGUGUACAUAGUGUAAUUUGAGAGGCCUUACUGCUAAGGUUUUGCCUAUGGGAAAGUCACUUUAGUGGUGGAAUUUGAGAGGCAUUGCUACUAUGACAUGAGACAUUAGUGGGAUUGGUGGAAUGGGAGAGACAUUUUAACUACAGAUCCAUAAGAAGUAGCCAUCCUCCAAUGCAUAAAGUGUGGUUUGUGCACAUCCCAGAAGCAAUUAUGUUAAAACUGUAACACUACUGAGAAGAUUAGCAUGUCUCCUAUAUCUAAAGUACAAUGUGAUAGGUGCAAGUGCUGCAAUUUGUGGGUUUAGGUUAACGGAAUAUAGCAUGUUUUCUCUAUAUAUGAAUUUGAUUUAUGUGCAUAUAAUGUUAGAAAGAUGUGAAGUGCCUUUGUGCAUACAACAUGGCAAC